rnacentral:rRNA from 1 species
CCAACAGGGAUUGCCUCAGUAACGGCGAGUGAAGCGGCAACAGCUCAAAUUUGAAAUCUGGCCCCCCGGCCCGAGUUGUAAUUUGCAGAGGAUGCUUCGGGCGCGGUGCCUUCCAAGUCCCCUGGAACGGGGCGCCAGAGAGGGUGAGAGCCCCGUCCGGUCGGCCGCCAAGCCUGUGUGAAGCUCCUUCGACGAGUCGAGUAGUUUGGGAAUGCUGCUCUAAAUGGGAGGUAGACCCCUUCUAAAGCUAAAUACCGGCCAGAGACCGAUAGCGCACAAGUAGAGUGAUCGAAAGAUGAAAAGCACUUUGAAAAGAGGGUUAAACAGUACGUGAAAUUGUUGAAAGGGAAGCGCUUGUGACCAGACGUGCAGCGGGUGCUCAGCAGGCGUUCUCGCCUGUGCACUCGCCCGCUGCAGGCCAGCGUCGGUUCGGGCGGGGGGAGAAAGACGCCGGGAACGUAGCUCCUCCGGGAGUGUUAUAGCCCGGCGUGCCAUGCCCCCGCCCGGACCGAGGUUCGCGCUCCGCAAGGACGCUGGCGUAAUGGUCUCCAGCGGCCCGUCUUGAAACACGGACCAAGGAGUCGAGGUUUUGCGCGAGUGUUUGGGUGUCAAACCCGCACGCGUAAUGAAAGUGAACGUAGGUGGGAGCUUCGGCGCACCACCGACCGAUCCUGAUGUUCUCGGAUGGAUUUGAGUAUGAGCGUAGGGCCUCGGACCCGAAAGAUGGUGAACUAUACGUGAAUAGGGUGAAGCCAGAGGAAACUCUGGUGGAGGCUCGCAGCGGUUCUGACGUGCAAAUCGAUCGUCAAAUUUGCGUAUGGGGGCGAAAGACUAAUCGAACCAU